ensembl:lncRNA
GACAAUUUGAUUAAAAAAUUUUGAUUGAAAAGACAAAUUGGUAGACACCCAGAACUGGUUAUAAACUCAUAUUUCCAGUUACUUGUUUUGCAUCCUUCGUAUUUUGAUGUUUAUUUUACUUUAUAAUGCCAAGUCACAUAAAGAGACAGUAACAGAGCACAACCCCUGUUCAGCCCUUAGCACACCGCUGUUGCUGUCGUCCCACACCCCGUUACCAGGCAAUAUUUAUUACUUGGAGACCACUAAUGGUUGCUCGGCCAUUGGUUGGUGCCACAACGUGCCCCUCCCCCAAGUGAGCAACUGUCAAUGAGUGACUGUUAGUGGUCCUGCUCAGCCAUUGGUUGCUGAUACAGUGGGCCCCUCCCCCAAGCAACCAACUGUCAGUGAGUGACUGUUAGUGGUUCAGUGGUCAGCCAACAGUCAAUGGAGUGGUGGUCACCAGGCAGGCAGAGAGAGAGAGUGAGGUGAGGAGGCCUACAAUGUAUAUUAUCUUCAGAGAGAUGUUUGCAAAGUAAAGAAGACUAGAAGCAGUUGCAGAAGGAGCAGAGGAUGCAGUGACUGUAGUACCAGGUGACUUCCACAUUUAGGGGCGGUCCUAAGAUGGCAGAGGAAUAGGACAGGGAGACCACUUUCUCCCCCACAAACUUAUCGAAAGAACAUUUGAGCACUGAGCUAAUUCCACAGAACAACUUCUGAAUGCUAGCAGAGGACAUCAAGCACCCAGAACUAGCCCAUUGUCUUCAAAAGGAGAUGGAGAAGUCUUGAGGCUACUGUAAGAAUAAGACUGAAAACCAGAGGCAGGAGGCUUAAGUCCAAAUCCUGAGAACACCAGAGAACUGAAUCCAGGGAACAUUAAUGGAUAGGAGUUCAUCAAACCCCUCCAUACCUACACUGAAACACCAAGCACCACCCAAGGGC